UACGGAGGGGGCUAGCGUUGUUCGGAAUUACUGGGCGUAAAGCGCACGUAGGCGGCUUUGCAAGUUAGAGGUGAAAGCCCGGGGCUCAACUCCGGAAUUGCCUUUAAAACUGCAUCGCUAGAAUUGUGGAGAGGUAAGUGGAAUUCCGAGUGUAGAGGUGAAAUGCGUAGAGAUUGGGAAGAACACCAGUGGCGAAGGCGACUUACUGGGCCGUAACUGACGUUGAUGCGCGAAAGCGUGGGGAGCGAACAGG
rnacentral:rRNA from 1 species